UACGUAGGGGGCAAGCGUUGUCCGGAAUUAUUGGGCGUAAAGAGCGUGUAGGCGGUAUAUUAAGUUGGAUGUAAAAGGCAACGGCUCAACCGUUGUAAGCAUCCAAAACUGAUGUACUUGAGUGUAGGAGAGGAAAGUGGAAUUCCCGGUGUAGCGGUGGAAUGCGUAGAGAUCGGGAGGAACACCAGUGGCGAAGGCGACUUUCUGGCCUAUUACUGACGCUGAGACGCGAAAGCGUGGGUAGCAAACAGG
rnacentral:rRNA from 1 species